rnacentral:siRNA from 1 species
AUAUAUAACAAUUAGAGGUUGUA